AAGUCGAACGAACCUUCGGGUUAGUGGCGGACGGGUGAGUAACGCGUGGGAAUCUGCCCUCAGGAGGGGGAUAACGGCCGGAAACGGCCGCUAAUACCCCAUAUGCCGAGAGGUGAAAUGAAUUUCGCCUGAGGAUGAGCCCGCGUCUGAUUAGCUAGUUGGUGAGGUAAGAGCUCACCAAGGCAUCGAUCAGUAGCUGGUCUGAGAGGAUGAUCAGCCACACUGGGACUGAGACACGGCCCAGACUCCUACGGGAGGCAGCAGUGGGGAAUUUUCCGCAAUGGGCGAAAGCCUGACGGAGCAACGCCGCGUGAGGGAUGAAGGCCUCUGGGCUGUAAACCUCUUUUAUCAAGGAAGAAGAUCUGACGGUACUUGAUGAAUAAGCCACGGCUAAUUCCGUGCCAGCAGCCGCGGUAAUACGGGAGUGGCAAGCGUUAUCCGGAAUUAUUGGGCGUAAAGCGUCCGCAGGCGGCCCUACAAGUCUGCUGUUAAAAAGUGGAGCUUAACUCCAUCAUGGCAGUGGAAACUGUUGGGCUCGAGUGUGGUAGGGGCAGAGGGAAUUCCCGGUGUAGCGGUGAAAUGCGUAGAUAUCGGGAAGAACACCAGUGGCGAAGGCGCUCUGCUGGGCCAUCACUGACGCUCAUGGACGAAAGCCAGGGGAGCGAAAGGGAUUAGAUACCCCUGUAGUCCUGGCCGUAAACGAUGAACACUAGGUGUCGGGGGAAUCGACCCCCUCGGUGUCGUAGCCAACGCGUUAAGUGUUCCGCCUGGGGAGUACGCACGCAAGUGUGAAACUCAAAGGAAUUGACGGGGGCCCGCACAAGCGGUGGAGUAUGUGGUUUAAUUCGAUGCAACGCGAAGAACCUUACCAGGGUUUGACAUCCUGCGAAUUUCUUGGAAACGAGAAAGUGCCUUCGGGAGCGCAGUGACAGGUGGUGCAUGGCUGUCGUCAGCUCGUGUCGUGAGAUGUUGGGUUAAGUCCCGCAACGAGCGCAACCCACGUCUUUAGUUGCCAGCAUUUAGUUGGGCACUCUAGAGAGACCGCCGGUGAUAAACCGGAGGAAGGUGUGGAUGACGUCAAGUCAUCAUGCCCCUUACAUCCUGGGCUACACACGUACUACAAUGCUACGGACAAAGGGCAGCAAGUUCGCGAGGACAAGCAAAUCCCAUAAACCGUGGCUCAGUUCAGAUCGUAGGCUGCAACUCGCCUACGUGAAGGAGGAAUCGCUAGUAAUCGCAGGUCAGCAUACUGCGGUGAAUACGUUCCCGGGCCUUGUACACACCGCCCGUCACACCAUGGAAGUUGGCCACGCCCGAAGCCGUUACUCCAACCCUU
rnacentral:rRNA from 1 species